rnacentral:rRNA from 1 species
GAUUUCUGGCUUGGCGCACCUGGCCCGCCACGGUUACGUGUGUGAGUGCCGGGAUGCGCCUGUCACUUUUCUGGUAAACCAUUGUGCUCUUCAUUGAGUGUGAUGGGUAGCCAGAUAUUUUACUUUGAAAAAAUUAGAGUGUUUAAAGCAGGCGUUUGCUAUGAAUACAUUAGCAUGGAAUAAUGAUUUAGGACUUCGGUUCUAAUUAGUUGGUUUCUAGGACUGAAGUAAUGAUUGAUAGGGAUAGUUGGGGGUGCUAGUAUUCAGCGGCCAGAGGUGAAAUUCUCGGAUUCGCUGAAGACUAACUUAUGCGAAAGCAUU